AAAAAAAUAAAAUAAUGGGAUAGGGGAAUGCAAGAAUUUUGCGUGAUAAGUGAGUGAGUGGCACAGCAGAAAUUGACAAUAGAGCGGAUAACAGCUGACACAUAAUUGUUUUUGUUCUUGUUCUUGUUCUUACAACUUCCCAAAUCUGAUGAGUUUUUUGUUAUUAUCCCUAUUGGAUAAAUCAUAAGUUUCCAUUAAAAGUAGUACCUAAACCUAGUACUCUCCUAAUCUCUGUAGCUGCUGUAUUCUUCGUUUCCGUUCUCACCGUUACCAGAGAUAAACCUCAAUUAGCAUUAUCACUCCAGCCCAGAUGCAGCAUAAUGAUGCCUCCAAUUUUGCUACUUACGACAAGUGUGGUAAUUUACCUUCAACUCCCACUGACCUCGACCUUAAUUCCCAAUUGGCGUCACAAGAUGUCAGGGACCCUGCCCCUGAACCUAACCCCUCAGUCCUCACCGUUAACGCCGACUCUCAUGUCAUUCAAAUUGCCCCCUCUAAGGAGGACUUGCCCCCCGGCGAUUCUCCCAAAAAGGGUUCUUUGACUAGGAACGAAAGUUCUCAUGAUCAAUGCAGAGUUUGUCAGCAGGAAAAGGAAGAAAUACUCAUAAAUCUUGGAUGCAAAUGUAAAGGUGGUCUUGCAAAAGCCCACCGCUCCUGUAUAGACACUUGGUUCCAUACAAGAGGAUCAAACAAAUGCGAAAUUUGUCAAGAGGUAGCUGUAAAUGUGUCGCCUCCAGAAUCUCAGCCAAGUACAAACUACUGGGUUUGGAGGGUUGAUCCAACCUUUAGACCACGAGAUCCUGAAAGGGGUUGUUUUAGUCCACUUUGGGUGGCAUUCUCAAUCCUUAUUGGUGGUCUCCUGUUGGAUGUGCUGAUAUCCAUUACUCUUGGUGUUUCUGCCCUGCCUGUUAACAUUAUUAUUGGCGUUAUUGUUGUGCUUGGACUUGGAACAGCACUUCGGUUAGCCCUGGAAUUCUGCCAUGAGUGGAGUUUUCGUAGAGUAGUGCAAAGGGUGGAUUCCAAUGUGCCUCUUGGGUAUCAUGCAGCUUUGUAGCGUCGGAUGUUUUAGCAAAUAGUUCAGUUAGCCAAAGUGGGAUUUUGGUUUCCGAUAUGCCUAGUCUUGGAUCUUGUUGAAUGGAUGAGAUUUUAAUUGUUAAAAAGAAAAAGAUACAUUCGGUGGAAGAAGGAUUCUUGCACAAAAGAUAUAUGGAGUUACUGGAUGCCUAAUCAUUGCAGGUAUUGGAUUUAUGGCACUUGCCGCAAAGAAACCAGAUGGCUUAAAUCAAUGGUGCUGAAUAUCUGUGUUUCUUUCCCAUACAAACCUCUGCAUGACAUUUGGUGUGUAGUUCGUUGGGGCAUUUUUGAUAUGAUGCAGGCCAAAGCUUCUAAUAAAAACAUGAAAUAAAUUAAUAAAACAACUUGAAUGGCAAUCAGAGAAAAAAAGAAAGGAAUUUGUAGUUCUUCUUAGUUGGUAAUUUUACUAGUUUUAUAUAUAGAGGGUUCAUUUUUGUAUGGGAAAGAUCCAGCUUUUUAAAAGCAGAAAUUAGGGAAAGAAAAAUUGUUGGGAGUGGUAAUGGCACGUGAACAAAUUUUAAUAAACAUCAAGCUGCAGACGAAAAAGGGGCAAAAGUGAAAAGGAAAAGAAUAAUGGGUUGCGGUCGAAGCUAGAGAGAGAGAGAGAGAGAGCCUUAUGUUCAUACGCCAAACAUUGCCAUAAAAGAGUAUUUAAUUAUAUAAACAGGUGGAAAUAUCUUGUAUAAUUUGGUAAUGAAACAGCGCCAGGAUAAACCGAGUAUUUAAGACCAGGCGGUGUCAA